GGAGGACUAGGAUAAUGGUAAUCCAACGGUCUUGAAAACCGUCGCGGGCGACCGCUUGGGGGUUCGAAUCCCUCGUCCUCCG
rnacentral:tRNA from 1 species